rnacentral:rRNA from 1 species
CACCCUAUAGUUUUGAUUUUUGCUCAGGAUGAACGCUGGCGGCGUGCCUAAUACAUGCAAGUCGAACGAACUUCCGUUAAUUGAUUAUGACGUACUUGUACUGAUUGAGAUUUUAACACGAAGUGAGUGGCGAACGGGUGAGUAACACGUGGGUAACCUGCCCAGAAGUAGGGGAUAACACCUGGAAACAGAUGCUAAUACCGUAUAACAGAGAAAACCGCAUGGUUUUCUUUUAAAAGAUGGCUCUGCUAUCACUUCUGGAUGGACCCGCGGCGUAUUAGCUAGUUGGUGAGGUAAAGGCUCACCAAGGCAGUGAUACGUAGCCGACCUGAGAGGGUAAUCGGCCACAUUGGGACUGAGACACGGCCCAGACUCCUACGGGAGGCAGCAGUAGGGAAUCUUCCACAAUGGACGCAAGUCUGAUGGAGCAACGCCGCGUGAGUGAAGAAGGGUUUCGGCUCGUAAAGCUCUGUUGUUAAAGAAGAACGUGGGUAAGAGUAACUGUUUACCCAGUGACGGUAUUUAACCAGAAAGCCACGGCUAACUACGUGCCAGCAGCCGCGGUAAUACGUAGGUGGCAAGCGUUAUCCGGAUUUAUUGGGCGUAAAGCGAGCGCAGGCGGUCUUUUAAGUCUAAUGUGAAAGCCUUCGGCUCAACCGAAGAAGUGCAUUGGAAACUGGGAGACUUGAGUGCAGAAGAGGACAGUGGAACUCCAUGUGUAGCGGUGAAAUGCGUAGAUAUAUGGAAGAACACCAGUGGCGAAGGCGGCUGUCUGGUCUGCAACUGACGCUGAGGCUCGAAAGCAUGGGUAGCGAACAGGAUUAGAUACCCUGGUAGUCCAUGCCGUAAACGAUGAUUACUAAGUGUUGGAGGGUUUCCGCCCUUCAGUGCUGCAGCUAACGCAUUAAGUAAUCCGCCU